rnacentral:rRNA from 1 species
UGGCCUCGCAAGUCCGUCGGGAAAUCCAGUAGCCCAACUACUGGGCGUCCGGCGGAAACUCCGAGGCUUGGGACCGGAAGGCUCGAGGGGUACGUCCGGGGUAGGAGUGAAAUCCCGUAAUCCCGAACGGACCACCGAUGGCGAAAGCACCUCGAGAAAACGGCUCCGACAGUGAGGGACGAAAGCUAGGGUCUCGAACCGGAUUAGAUACCCGGGUAGUCCUAGCCGUAAACGAUGUUCGCUAGGUGUGGCACUCGCUACGAGCGAGUGCUGUGCCGUAGGGAAGCCGAGAAGCGAACCGCCUGGGAA